UUUUCUCUGUGUCUGAAUUUCCGACACAAAAAUAAUGUAUGUGUCAGUGUCGGUUUACAGACUUUCACCUGAAGAUCUCCACCACCGCCUAAGGCCGCCUCCUGAACCUCCGCCGCCAAGAUGGAGGAGAAGCAUAUAUAUUGAACAAUAUUCUUGUCAGCGGAAACGGACUCUUUCAUUAGUGGAGUCAUUCAUAGUUUUGGAGGGGUGGAAAAGGUUGAUAAUAAUUGGCGAAUCGUCAUUUGUGCAAUUAUCUUCCUUCAGGGCCACAUUUAGGCAGCUUCUCAUGUCUUAAAGAUAACUUAAACGUUAAAGUUUGACGUGGAAGAUUUGAGACCGUGACAACUUGUUGCUCAUUUUGAACUAAGCCGAACCCUAAUUGAGACUCAUUUAGUACGAAUGCAACCAUGAAUUCAAGAAAUGCUCUGAUGAUUUUCUCGAAAGUUCAAUCAGUUACUUUUUAAGAGAGCAUCAAAAAGGUGUUUCGUGUGUUUAUAGAUGUUUUUCGUCAUUCUAUAUGGGCGUUCAAUGCUUCAAAUCAAUUGUUUCACCACCCCCUCGAAUUAUGGCUGCUAUGAAAUUAUUUAUGAAACUGCGUUCAUUCUCAUGUUCUAGUGUGGUAAAGAAGGUAGCUGGCAUUGCUCCGUCUAUCGUCUAGUGCUUAAUUAUUCACCAACAGAACAAAGCAGGGCUAGAGGGAAGAAAUUACGAUAAUAUUCUCCAACUUGCUUGGAAAUAAUUCGGACGCCCCCAUAGAAGCUACCAAGCGAGUCCAAAAUGCCGAGCCGAAUUCCACAAAGACGAAUCAGCCUUUCUUCAUAUUUCUCACACGCUUUUGCAAACAACAGGUUUCUUCCCCGUCAAUCCACCUCAUAAUCAACACUGAUCUCCCUCGUUGGUAUGUGGCAAAAUGGUAAAAAAUGACGACAGAAUUCUUGAGCCUCCAGCUAUGAAAAUAUAUAUAUGAGAUUGGUUAAUGGUUCUUAAUGCGGAUUUAGUUUUGCUUCGUUGCUACUUUUGUUUUCCUAUCAUCAAAGACUGAAUUUGAGGUGCUAGAAACAUUCUAAUAUUAUCGAAUCUUUCUAACACCUCAAAUUGGGUCUUAGGAUAGAAAAGCUAAUGAUAGGAAAACAAAAUAUAGCAACACGACGGACUAGCUCGUAUGAAUGUUAAUGCUCUUGUUAUAAAUCGGGUCAUUUUUUCCUUUUUUGUCCCUUUUAGAAAUAUUCGACUUUUCGUUUUGUUGAAUCCAAAUAUGGAGUGUACUUACUAUAUAUGUAGAUUUUGUUGUACUAUAUAUGUUUGUAAUAAUCUUGGACGUCUUAUUCUUAAGAAUUUAUUUUCCUAAGCGAUGUAAUGAUCUUUAUUUACUUAAAGCCUUGUGGUCUCUAA